AAGCCAUCAACCACAUCCAUAUAGGCACUGCACGGGGCAGUAUGCCUUCAUUU
rnacentral:sRNA from 1 species